rnacentral:misc_RNA from 1 species
GAAAUGCGAUAAGUAAUGCGAAUUGCAGAAUCCGUGAGUCAUCGAAUCUUUGAACGCACAUUGCGCCCUCUGGUAUUCCGGAGGGCAUGCCUGUUCGAGCGUCAUUAUCACCCCUCAAGCCCGGCUUGUUGUUGGACGCGGCGGCGGCGGCCUCGGCCUCGCCCCGCCCGUCUCAAAGAUAAUGACGGCGUCUGUGAGGACUCCUGUACACUGAGCUUUCGGGCACGUACUAGGCCAGCACUCCAGACCCGGUCGCCGUCCCCUCACCCGGGACACUUUUUACCACACAAGGUUGACCUCGGAUCAGGUAGGAAUACCCGCUGAACUUAA